rnacentral:rRNA from 1 species
UACACGACCGUACCGCAAACCGACACUGGUGCGCGAGAUGAGUAUUCUAAGGCGCUUGAGAGAACUCAGGAGAAGGAACUCGGCAAAUUGACACCGUAACUUCGGAAGAAGGUGUGCCUUUAGUAGGUGAACCAUUUACUUGGGGAGCCCAAUGAGGCUGCAAAAAAUCGGUGGCUGCAACUGUUUAUUAAAAACACAGCACUCUGCUAAGACGAAAGUCGACGUAUAGGGUGUGACGCCUGCCCGGUGCUGGAAGAUUAAAUGAUGGGGUGCAAGCUCUUGAUUGAAGUCCCAGUAAACGGCGGCCGUAACGAUAACGGUCCUAAGGUAGCGAAAUUCCUUGUCGGGUAAGUUCCGACCUGCACGAAUGGCGUAAUGAUGGCCACACUGUCUCCUCCUGAGACUCAGCGAAGUUGAAAUGUUUGUGAUGAUGCAAUCUCCCCGCGGAAAGACGGAAAGACCCCAUGAACCUUUACUGUAGCUUUGUAUUGGACUUUGAACAGAUCUGUGUAGGAUAGGUGGGAGGCUUUGAAGUGUGGUCGCUAGAUCGCAUGGAGCCAACGUUGAAAUACCACCCUGGUGUGUUUGAGGUUCUAACCUAGGUCCAUUAUCUGGAUCGGGGACAGUGCAUGGUAGGCAGUUUGACUGGGGCGGUCUCCUCCCAAAGUGUAACGGAGGAGUUCGAAGGUACGCUAGGUACGGUCGGACAUCGUGCUAAUAGUGCAAUGGCAUAAGCGUGCUUAACUGCGAGACUGACAAGUCGAGCAGAUGCGAAAGCAGGACAUAGUGAUCCGGUGGUUCUGUAUGGAAGGGCCAUCGCUCAACGGAUAAAAGGUACUCUGGGGAUAACAGGCUGAUACCGCCCAAGAGUUCAUAUCGACGGCGGUGUUUGGCACCUCGAUGUCGGCUCAUCUCAUCCUGGGGCUGUAGCCGGUCCCAAGGGUAUGGCUGUUCGCCAUUUAAAGAGGUACGUGAGCUGGGUUUAAAACGUCGUGAGACAGUUUGGUCCCUAUCUUCCGUGGGCGCUGCAGAUUUGAGGAAGCCUGCUCCUAGUACGAGAGGACCGGAGUGGACGAACCUCUGGUGUAUCGGUUGUCACGCCAGUGGCAUUGCCGAGUAGCUAAGUUCGGAAGAGAUAACCGCUGAAAGCAUCUAAGCGGGAAACUCGUUUCAAGAUUAGAUCUGCCGGGGCCUUGAGCCCCCUAAAGAGUCGUUCAAGACCAGGACGUUGAUAGGUCAGGUGUGGAAGUGAAAAC